CCCUGGUAGUCCACGCCGUAAACGAUGUCGACUUGGAGGUUGUUCCCUUGAGGAGUGGCUUCCGGAGCUAACGCGUUAAGUCGACCGCCUGGGGAGUACGGCCGCAAGGUUAAAACUCAAAUGAAUUGACGGGGGCCCGCACAAGCGGUGGAGCAUGUGGUUUAAUUCGAUGCAACGCGAAGAACCUUACCUACUCUUGACAUCCAGCGAACUUAGCAGAGAUGCUUUGGUGCCUUCGGGAACGCUGAGACAGGUGCUGCAUGGCUGUCGUCAGCUCGUGUUGUGAAAUGUUGGGUUAAGUCCCGCAACGAGCGCAACCCUUAUCCUUUGUUGCCAGCGAUUCGGUCGGGAACUCAAAGGAGACUGCCGGUGAUAAACCGGAGGAAGGUGGGGAUGACGUCAAGUCAUCAUGGCCCUUACGAGUAGGGCUACACACGUGCUACAAUGGCGCAUACAAAGAGAAGCGACCUCGCGAGAGCAAGCGGACCUCACAAAGUGCGUCGUAGUCCGGAUCGGAGUCUGCAACUCGACUCCGUGAAGUCGGAAUCGCUAGUAAUCGUGGAUCAGAAUGCCACGGUGAAUACGUUCCCGGGCCUUGUACACACCGCCCGUCACACCAUGGGAGUGGGUUGCAAAAGAAGUAGGUAGCUUAACCUUCGGGAGGGCGCUUACCACUUUGUGAUUCAUGACUGGGGUGAAGU
rnacentral:rRNA from 1 species